GGUUAAAAUUUGUGUUCAGUAACCCAUACUUGUCGUAAGAGGCGACUAACGGGAUCAGGUGGUCAAACACGCUGACUUGGUUGACAAAUGUCAUUGUAUCCCAAUUGAGUGGAACGAUGCCCAUGCUGUUGAGCAGUGGAUUGCUAGGUCCACACUUGAUUAGUUCAGACCGCCGCCAUAUAGCUGGAAUAUUUCUGAAUGCGGCGUAAAACUAAACUCACUCACUCACUCA